ACCAACAGGGCUUGCGUUUCCUAUGGGCGAGUGAGCGGCAAUAGCUCAAAUUUGAAAUCUGGCACCUUCGGUGUCCGAGUUGUAAUUUGAAGAAGGUAUCUUUGGUUUUGGCUCUUGUCUAUGUUCCUUGGAACAGGACGUCACAGAGGGUGAGAAUCCCGUGCGAUGAGAUGCCCAAUUCCAUGUAAAGUUCCUUCGACGAGUCGAGUUGUUUGGGAAUGCAGCUCUAAGUGGGUGGUAAAUUCCAUCUAAAGCUAAAUAUUGGCGAGAGACCGAUAGCGAACAAGUACUGUGAAGGAAAGAUGAAAAGAACUUUGAAAAGAGAGUGAAAAAGUACGUGAAAUUGUUGAAAGGGAAGGGCUUGAGGUCAGACUUGGUUUUACCAGGCCAGCAUCAGUUUGGAUGGCAGGAUAAUAGCUUAGGAAUGUGGCACUGCUUCGGUAGUGUGUUAUAGCCUGGGUUGAUACUGCCUGUCUAGACUGAGGACUGCGUCUUUGACUAGGAUGCUGGCAUAAUGACCUUAAGCCGCCCGUCUUGAAACUACGGACCGCGGGGCUGCAUAUUACUAGAGCGGAGGAAAAAGGGUG
rnacentral:rRNA from 1 species